AUUGAACGCUGGCGGCAUGCUUUACACAUGCAAGUCGAACGGUAACAGGGUGCUUGCGCCGCUGACGAGUGGCGAACGGGUGAGUAAUGCGUCGGAACGUGCCGAGUAGUGGGGGAUAACGCAGCGAAAGUUGUGCUAAUACCGCAUACGUACUGAGGUAGAAAGUGGGGGACCUUCGGGCCUCACGCUAUUCGAGCGGCCGACGUCUGAUUAGCUAGUAGGUGAGGGAAAGGCUCACCUAGGCGACGAUCAGUAGCGGGUCUGAGAGGAUGAUCCGCCACACUGGGACUGAGAAACGGCCCAGACUCCUACGGGAGGCAGCAGUGGGGAAUUUUGGACAAUGGGCGAAAGCCUGAUCCAGCCAUGCCGCGUGUCUGAAGAAGGCCUUCGGGUCGUAAAGGACUUUUGUCGGGGAGGAAAUCCCCAGCGUUAAUACCGCUGGGGGAUGACAGUACCUGAAGAAUAAGCACCGGCUAACUACGUGCCAGCCGCCGCCGUAACAC
rnacentral:rRNA from 1 species